CUGCACUCCACCCCCUACCCUUGUUGGGCUGCAGGACGAGUUUUGCAGUUCUGGAGUUUUAAACAUAAUCAAAAGAGGCCAUGAUCAAGAUGAUGGGCAAAGAGAGCCUGGACCUGAUCUCAUUUUCAGGUGGUAAACGAAGCUCGUAAGCAGCCACAUGGGCAGAGAACACAGCAUAAAGGCCACCUGCAUCACGCCUGACCCCACGACAGGCGCUGUGAACGGUGAACAU